CUGGUUUAUUAGAACCAUCAGAUUGUUUUAUUUUUUUAUUGAUUCCUUCCAUAUUACAAAGCUCGCCUCAGGGCCCGAUUCACAUAUAGCAGUGGUAGCUCGAAGAAGACAUUUGAACAUUACAUGAUUAUUGGUAAUGAAGUGAAUGUUGCUUGCCGACGUUGAAAUACCGAGGAAAUUUCCAGCACGAAAUCUUUUUGGACGGCCACAUACAAUCUCAC